AACCGACCCUCUCCAGACAUUAACAUGAUGGAUGGGCUUCCUCUGUCGGCUUGGGGUGUCCAGACCCUGUAAAACCUCUAUGUGCUCCACCACUGGCUAAUCAAGCACACUUUGUGCAGAUGUAGAGUCUGUCAUUUUCACCUCAGUAGUCUCUCUCUCUCUCUCUCUCUCUCUCUCUCUCUCUCUCUCGCCUCCUCGUCUGUUUUUAUGCGCGCUCCACAUACAUUUGUAAAUAAGGUCACCGGUUCCCCCGAAGAGAGGCGUGAUUUCACCGGCCGAUUUUCGGUAAUUUACGGUUCAGGCUGUGAGGCCCCGUGUGCCGAGGCCCUAAAAAACUGCAGGCCUUUGCACUCUGGGUGUUUUCAUCUGAGGUUGCCUUGGCCCGCAGAUGCUACCCAGGCUGGUCGUGUCGAGGACUGACCUCUGCCAACCUAAAUAUUCUCACUCUGAAACUGUACCCAGAGCCUGCCACCAAAUCCCACCGCUCCCCAACUCGCUACAUAGAGAGUUGUUUUCUUUUUUUCUUUCUGUUUUCUCAUUUUUAUUUAUUUAUUUAUUUAUUUCAUUAUGUUUUGUUUUUCCUUCUUAUUUUUUAUUUUUUUUUAACGGCCUUGUGAUGUUUCGAAGCGUAGGUUUCCCAGUUCCCGGCUUGGCCAGAGUCGAUUUCAGCUGUGUUGUCAUGCAGCUCUCGCGCGGCGGCGCCUCCCUGAAAGUGCCACAUUUUUUAAAAUGCACAAGCAGGGCUUUAUGUUUACAUACACACAUUUUUAAAUGUUAUUGCAGAGCUGUGCCAGCUUCAAGAAUGCCAUGCGAAACCAAAAGAGCCAAGUUCAUAUUUUCUUAUGGAGAGAAGAGGGUUCAUUAAGAACCCCACAUAUUAAACUGUCGCAGGCUGUCAGGAGAAGUAAUGACGUGUCCAAGGCCGGCAGGCAGCUCUGUCUUACUGCUGUUAUUGUUUCAUCACUUUUAAGUCAUCACAUCAUGAAUUUAGAUAUGGACUAGCUUAACAGUUACAUGGUAUAAAUAGGUGUGUCCAUC
ensembl:lncRNA